CUCUUGUGACACUACAUUGGUCACUCUUCUGGAGAUGUCUACUGUCUAGCAAUUUAGCUUUCUUUGCCUCUGCACAGAUAGCUCUUAUUGAUGCCUCAAGGAUGAGUCACAUCCAAGAGUCUUAUGUAGUUCAGUCUGAUCUCAAAUCACUAUCUAGCCAAGGACAACUUUGGACUUCUGAUCUUCCCCUGCCUCCCAAGUGAUCAAUUACAGGAAUGUGCUACCAUGCCAGAUUUAUGCCUUGGUUGGGAAAGAAACCCCGAACUUCAUCCAUGAUAGCUGUUCAUAGAAAUAUCUAAUUGGACAAGUAUUUCUAAAUGCUUACCAGGAGGUCCUUCUUCUCUGGCUGCUGAGACUAUGUGAGCUCUGCCAAAUCCUUCGACAUGGUCUUCUUCAGUUCUGUUUCCCUGUGUGCAUGUGCUGAGAAAUACCUGAAGACUACAGGGAGCUUUCCAAGAUCUGUAAAGUCUCUCUCUCUCUCUCUCUCUCUCUCUCUCUCUCUCUCUCUCUCUCUCUCUCUCUCUCUCUCUCUCUCUCGUGUGUGUGUGUCUGUCUGUCUGUAUGUAUGUAUGUAUGCCUGCCUGCCUCACUUCUCUUUGUGUUGGCCUCACCAAGAGCACUGUCAGAAUCUGUCUCUCCUCUUUCCAUCAAGCAUCCUUUCCUGUGUUUUCAGCUAAAACCUUUUGGGGGGAAAAAAAAGCAGCUGACCAUGCCCAGAAAGUGUUCCUUCCCCCUGUGUUUUAUGAAGUGGUGUUUAAUAGCUA